GUGUGGUUGUUGCUGGCCCUCUCGGGGGCAUGUGCACACCCACCAUCCUCAUCUCUCCACCUGUGCACCUCUUGUAGACCUGGAUUGACUUUCCGAGGCAACUCGGUCGGGAAGAUUGCUGCGCUCUGUGAGCCAGCUUUCUUUGCAUGUCCAGGCCUAUGUUUUUCAUAUACCCCUAUAGAAUGUAACAGAAUGUAUCAUUGGGCCUUGUGCCUAUAAACCUUAUACAACUUUCAGCAACGGAUCUCUUGGCUCUCGCAUCGAUGAAGAACGCAGCGAAAUGCGAUAAGUAAUGUGAAUUGCAGAAUUCAGUGAAUCAUCGAAUCUUUGAACGCACCUUGCGCUCCUUGGUAUUCCGAGGAGCAUGCCUGUUUGAGUGUCAUUAAAUUCUCAACCUUAUUAACUUUUGUUGAUAAUGGAUUGGAUUGUGGGGGUUUCUUUUGCUGGCUUCUUCACAGAGAUCAGCUCCCCUUAAAUGCAUUAGCUGGUGCCCCGCGUGGACCAUCUAUUGGUGUGAUAAUUAUCUACGCCGUGGAUGUCUGCAAUUAUAUGGGUUUCGCACUGCUUCUAACCGUCUGUUCAUUCGGACAAUACAUGACAAUUUGACCUCAAAUCAGGUAGGACUACCCGCUGAACUUAAGCAUAUCAAUAAGCGGAGGAAAAGAAACUAACAAGGAUUCCCCUAGUAACUGCGAGUGAAGCGGGAAAAGCUCAAAUUUAAAAUCUGGCGGUCUCCGGCCGUCCGAGUUGUAAUCUAGAGAAGUGUUAUCCGCGCUGGACCGUGUACA
rnacentral:rRNA from 1 species